rnacentral:rRNA from 1 species
GGGACCCGCACAAGUAGCGGAGCAUGUGGUUUAAUUCGAAGCAACGCGAAGAACCUUACCUAAGCUUGACAUCCCAAUGACAUCUCCUUAAUCGGAGAGUUCUCUUCGGGGACAUUGGUGACAGGUGGUGCAUGGUUGUCGUCAGCUCGUGUCGUGAGAUGUUGGGUUAAGUCCCGCAACGAGCGCAACCCUUGUCUUUAGUUGC